ACCCCACCCCACCCCACCCCACCCCACUCAAAAAAGGGAAAGAAAGAAAAGCCAUAAGACCAAAAGCUAAAGAGCAGACCUCGUUCAUGUUUUUAUAACACAAUACAAAUUCUUUCCACAAUGAAAUUUGCCACAGGCUAUUAUGAAUACAGAUGUAAAUAUGUAUUUUUUUUCCUCUCUAAUGGGGUGUCGAAUCAUAUGAAAUUUACAUCUUGAUGAAUUUGCGUGAGACAAAUUGAAAGUACACAAGUUACAAAAAGUUCAUGUUAACUGAAAACGAACAAGUAUUUUAGAAGAUCAAUUCUCAUCCGACCUUAUAAACUAUGGGAGUUCAAGCUGAAAUCCCACGCCAUCGAUUUUCAUCUAAAAAUACCAAGUGGUCUAGCUGUGAAGAAGAGAAACGACGUGUAGUUUAAUUUGUUUUUUUUGCUUCAAUUUGAUUUUGUUGAUGUGAAGCCUAUUGGGAAAAUAUUAUCACCAGGGUAAAAUGGAGAAUAAACAACAACCAGAAUAUUAAGAAGAUGAAAGAAGUGAAGAUGAAGAACAAAACGAAUAUGAUGGCUCAAAGACGUGAUGGUUGUUCUCAAACGAUAUUUGCCCCCUCUCCUAUAUGAUUUUGGUGCUUAAAGGGUUUCAUAGCAAAUCGUUUGUAGGAUUAAUCAAGCCUUGUAGGGAAUCAAUACUUAAGCACUUGUAUGAAUUCUCCAAAAUUUGAAGAACACAAAGGGAAUAUUGAAUAUGAAUGAAAAAGACUUUGAUUUCUUCUUUGUGGAAUGAAGACUAUGAUGACAAAUGU
rnacentral:lncRNA from 1 species